UAAUAUUUACCGUUAACACUUCGUAUAAUCUCAAUGAUAUGGUUUGAGAGUUUCUACCAAGAGCCCUAAACUCUUGAUUAUGAAGACUUUACUUUAUGUA
rnacentral:ncRNA from 2 species